rnacentral:rRNA from 1 species
UACGAAGGGGGCUAGCGUUGUUCGGAAUCACUGGGCGUAAAGGGCGUGCAGGCGGUUUGUUAAGUUCAGGGUGAAAGCUCCCGGCUCAACUGGGAGAGGUCCUUGGAUACUGGCAGACUUGAGGAGGGUAGAGGAGAGUGGAAUUCCCGGUGUAGUGGUGAUAUGCGUAGAUAUCGGGAGGAACACCAGUGGCGAAGGCGGCUCUCUGGGCCCUACCUGACGCUGAGACGCGAAAGCGUGGGGAGCAAACGGG